rnacentral:rRNA from 1 species
AUUGAACGCUGGCGGCAGGCCUAACACAUGCAAGUCGAACGGUAACAGGAAGCAGCUUGCUGCUUUGCUGACGAGUGGCGGACGUGUGAGUAAUGUCUGGGAAACUGCCUGAUGGAGGGGGAUAACUACUGGAAACGGUAGCUAAUACCGCAUAAUGUCGCAAGACCAAAGAGGGGGACCUUCGGGCCUCUUGCCAUCGGAUGUGCCCAGAUGGGAUUAGCUAGUAGGUGGGGUAAAGGCUCACCUAGGCGACGAUCCCUAGCUGGUCUGAGAGGAUGACCAGCCACACUGGAACUGAGACACGGUCCAGACUCCUACGGGAGGCAGCAGUGGGGAAUAUUGCACAAUGGGCGCAAGCCUGAUGCAGCCAUGCCGCGUGUAUGAAGAAGGCCUUCGGGUUGUAAAGUACUUUCAGCGGGGAGGAAGGGAGUAAAGUUAAUACCUUUGCUCAUUGACGUUACCCGCAGAAGAAGCACCGGCUAACUCCGUG